rnacentral:rRNA from 1 species
UACAGAGGUCCCAAGCGUUGUUCGGAUUCAUUGGCGUAAAGGGUGCGUAGGCGGCGGGUAAGUCUGAUGUGAAAUACUGAGGCUCAACCUUGGAACUGCAUUGGAUACUGCCUUGCUAGAGUACUGGAGAGGAGACUGGAAUUUACGGUGUAGCAGUGAAAUGCGUAGAGAUCGUAAGGAAGACCAGUGGCGGAAGGCGAGUCUCUGGACAGUUACUGACGCUGAGCACGAAGGCUAGGGGAGCAAACGGG